CCUACGGGGGGCAGCAGUGGGGAAUAUUGCACAAUGGGCGCAAGCCUGAUGCAGCCAUGCCGCGUGUAUGAAGAAGGCCUUCGGGUUGUAAAGUACUUUCAGUCGUGAGGAAGGUGUUAAGGUUAAUAACCUUAGCAAUUGACGUUAGCGACAGAAGAAGCACCGGCUAACUCCGUGCCAGCAGCCGCGGUAAUACGGAGGGUGCGAGCGUUAAUCGGAAUUACUGGGCGUAAAGGGCACGCAGGCGGGUAAGUAAGAUGGAUGUGAAAACCCCGGGCUUAAACUGGGAAAGGCAUUCAAGGCUAGCUAGGUAGAGUUAUGUAGAGGGGGGUAGAAUUACAUGUGGAGCGGUGAAAUGGGGAGGGACGGGGGGGAACAGUGGUGGCGAAGGCGGCAGCACGGACAAAGAAAGCGGAGCAUGCGUGAGAGAGUGGGGAGCCAGCAGAAGUAGGAACGCGGGUAGUA
rnacentral:rRNA from 1 species